GUGCAGAGACAACAGGCUGCCUUGCUAAACGAUGCACACCUGUAACUCACGUGACCCUGAUUAUUAUUGAAACGAGAACGAGGGCGUCGUGCCUUUAUAAGACUGCGUUAAUGUUUCCGUGGAGUUAUCCCGUCCGUUGUUGUUUAUUGAUUGUUAAACAUGGCUUCAUUUGCAAAGGUGGUUGUGUGUGUCCUCAUUGCUUGUGUCUGUAAUGCAUUCUGUUUUCCGAAGAGAGAUGUGAACUUUAAGCCCUCUGCAGUUGACCGCCAAAGUGAUGAUGUGGUUGUCACCACAACACCUGUUCCCCACAACCAGACCACAUCUGCCCAUACUGAAGCUGGUGGUGGUGCAAGUGAAGAUGCUGUGGCUACUACCCCAGCACCUAUUCCACACAACCAGACAACUUCUGAAGUUACUGAUGGAGCCAGUGAAGAUGCUGUGGACCGCCAAAAUGAUGAUGUGGUUGUCGCCACAACACCCGAUCCCCACAACCAGACCACAUCUGCCAAUACUGAAGCUGGUGAUGGAGCAAGUGAAGAUGCUGUGGCUACCACCCCAACACCAAAUCCCCCAACUACAUCUGACCACACUGCAGCUACCGAUGAUGCAAGUGAGGGUGCUGUGGCUGCCCAAACUGGAACUACUGUAUCCCAUACGACUGAAGUCUGAUUCGACUGCUCCUCUGGUCACAAUGACCUGAGUCACUGUCUGGACUUUUUGCCUCUACAUGUUCACUGCAAUAAAGGACAGAUUUGUUUUUUGAAUCA
rnacentral:lncRNA from 1 species